CAAAACAUGGAGAAGCAAGCAACCUAAUCAUCAGGAGGAUUAUACCUCCCUUGAAACACUAAAGAGCCUGCUGGAGAUGCUGAACAUUUGGUUCUUCCUGACUGGUGGCCAGUGGGGUCAGAACUAUUCAUUAAUCCAAUUCCAAAGGUAGAGCCUCACAC